UACGAGGGGGGCGAGCGUUGUUCGGAAUUAUUGGGCGUAAAGGGCGCGUAGGCGGUCGGAUAAGUCUUGUGUGAAAUCUUCGGGCUCAACUCGAAGUCUGCACAGGAAACUAUCUGGCUUGAGUGUGGGAGAGGUGAGUGGAAUUCCUGGUGUAGCGGUGAAAUGCGCAGAUAUCAGGAAGAACACCCGUGGCUAAGGCGGCUCUCUAGUACGGUACUGACGCUGAGACGCGAAAGCGUGGGGAGCGAACAGG
rnacentral:rRNA from 1 species